AGUGGCUCAUUAGAGCUGCUGUUCUAUGUUCCUACGUCCGACCGCUCGCUCCCUGUUUCCUGGACCUAACCCCCCAAACAAUCCCUGUGUCCGUGUGUGUGUGUGUGUGUGUGUGUGUGUGUGUGUGUGUGUGUGUGUGUGUGCGUCAGCUGGCUAUACUCAGGCCUGAGUUCGGACAGGCGCAGGGGACAGGGAGGGGAGGGAGGAGGGGAGUCAGGGCCUUUUCACCGGCACAAAGACAUAAUUAACCAAAUUGGCAAAUAGUUUGAGAAACCGCCUCCUGACCAUUGUGUGGAGCCUUCGGUUACCAUAGCAACCCCGAAUUUGCUUGUAUUUUAUGUGUGUGUGUGUGUUGUGUCGGACGACCAAAUUAAAAGUCACUAACGAUUAUCAACCACAUCAUCCAGGACCACACACACACACACACACACACACACACACACACACACACACACACACACACACACACACACACACACACACACACACAAACAGAUUUUUUUUAGCUGAGUCAUCUUCUCUCCUUAAAUUACCGUAAAUUCUGUAAUAUAGACUGUUUCCUUUUACCGCAGGAUGAGUCAGGCCUUUAUAUGAAGCAGGCUUGUAUUUGAGGCAGGCCUUUAUUUCACUCUGAGUAAUCAUAAACUAUUCUUGUUUUAGAACAAAGUGAGGACCUGAUUCACUAAACCUGUGCAAGAUUAACCCCCACAUCCAGAAUGGCUCCUAUCCGCAACGGCGGCAAAUUUUGCCGUCCGCCAAUUCCUACCAGAUCUGCACUCACGCGAUAACGAGUUGUCUCUCUAAAGACAGACACAUAGACAUAUGAGCUGUAGAUUGUGUCCUUCCAGAGGAGGAAAUCUACUUCUAUACUUCUAGAAUCAGCAUCUCCACCAACAUUAGUCCUGAAAGAAACACUAUCGAGCCGACAGCGCAGUCUUCAUUCAUGUUGUCAGGAUCAACUCUGAGUGAUGAGGUCAGAGCGUGAAGUUAGGGCGCCACGACACACGACCAAACGUUAAAAACACCAACGAAUCAAACGGCGAAGAAUCAGCUGUUUGUUUCUGAUGUGAUAUAAAGAUGAUCACAUGACUGUCACCCUCAUGGCUUCACACUUCUUAUCCAUCCCAGAGCUGUGUGUGUGUGUGUGUGUGUGUGUGUGUGUGUGUGUGUUUGUUAUUGUGUCAGUCAGCUGACUCUCUGUGAGUCAAUCAAACAUCGAUCACUGUAACAGUGGGACAGACAUCAAGGACAAACUGCGUGUGGAUCAAUAAAUGCACGGCUGCGCUGUGUGCGUGUGUGUGCGUGCUCGUGUGUGUGUGUGCGUGUGUGUGUGUGUGAGGUUGGAGCUGCUACAGAAACUAAAACACUCGGUAUUCAAACCGCAGCUGCAUAAGACAUGAGUUUAUCUAUCAAAUAUAGAUUUCAGAGCCGCAGCAGCAGCAGCAGAAGUUGUUUUGUUCUAAGUUUAGUCCAGAGAAAGUUGCUGCUGUUUUCCCGGAGUUACUGUAAGGUUGCGAGGUUUGUGUCUGUUUGUUUGUUUGUUUGUUUGUUUGUGUGUCUGUCUCUGCGUUGCGCUCUUCCUCCCGCCCGCCCGCCCGCCGACUCCAGCCCCGUUUUGAGGUUACUUUCUGUAAAGUUGUGCCUUUUGGCACCGAGCAGCGUUGUGGUUUGGGAGCUCGAAGCUUGGUUAAAGAUAAACUUCAGGUCUGACUGAAGAGUUCACUCUUUCUCGCUCUCUUCCCCUCCCUCUGUCUCUCUCUCUCUCUCUGUUUCUUCCCCUCCCAUCCCUCGCUCGGCCCCCAGAGUCACAACAAGAAGCAGCAAACAGCUUGUGCAUCGUUCGUACCAGGAGAAAAUGCCCCAUUUUCAUCUGUUUGAAUCUGACAUUUUUGGCACAUUAAAUAUUGGACAUUAAUAAAUUAAAUGUAAUGAACUGACAUGAAAGGAGAAAAAAGUCCAAUGGUACAAUGCGAGGAAGUAUAAAAGGCAAGAGUGCAAAAGGAGGAAGCAAAACAACAACUCCAAAGAAGGCGCAAACUUUUUUUCUUUAAUUCCAAUUAACUCUCGCCUUCUGCAGCCAUCGGAGAUUAUUUUUCAUGUUCAUUUAUUCAAACAAAUAUUGAAUAAUUUAUCGCAGUGGGAAUAACAACACGAGGAAUCACAGCUCUGGGUGCUGGUGGAGGAGAGAGGCCCGUCUGUGAGGAGGAGAGAGGCUCUUCAUUAAUACGACUUAUUGGUCAUUUAAUCUAAUUAGACCUCCGCUGUCGGUUUUGUAAGAGUGAAAAAAUCAUCACAGCUGAUCAUCUGUGACCAGCGCCGCACUCACUUCCUGCCUGAUUGGAUUUAUGUGGCGCUCUGAGCUCGGUCACAUUAUCUGUAACAUCAUCUCGUGUACCUUUGUGUGCUCAUGAAUAUUUCACACCUGUACUUAGCGUAGGUGCUGCUCCUGUCUUAUCUGUGUCAGUGUGUUUAUGUGUGUCGCUGGCCUGUAUGUAGGUCGCUGUAAGUGACACCCGGGGUCACACCCCAUGAUUGUGUUGCAUAACAUUUGGACUUCCACGGGUCUCUGAGUCCUCCUCUCUCCGCCCAUCAGCCCACCUUUAAAUCCACCUGCUGACCCACGGCGCAACGAUUGAUCGAUUUUAGAUCCUAAUCGGAUUAUUUAAUGAUGACGAUAUUAGAAUCAGAAUUGUCCAAUCGGUUUUCCUCUCUAUCACGUCUCGCGCCUUUCGGCCACCGUAGGCUCCUCCUUCCAUGCGGUUCCCACACACACCAGUGUAAACAAACAUGGCGUUUGUAAAAGAAGGCGAUAACUUCAUGACGAGAGCGAGUCAGUUGUGUUGAAACGACUUCACAGUUUCAGAUGAAGAGCAAACCACCAGAGAUCUGCUGAUCCGAGAGACGGCGGCGGCUCUCAGGUAACCAGACUUCAGGUGGUGCUCCAAUUAAAUAAUCAAUCAAUCUUUAUCCAUACAGCGCCAAAACUAAACAAACGUUAUCUCAAGAGGCUUCACAAAAAAAAGACGUGAGGAUGAGAUAAGAUCGAGUCCCACUCUGAUUUCAUCUUCAUUUAUCAGCCUUUAGAAAGUCACAGAGGAGAGGAGAACCUCCUUUAACGGACAGAAACCUCGAGCAGAACCAGACUCAUGGUUUUAAAACCUUCACUGACUCCGCCCCCUUCACACCGCCGGACAAUCUGGUGAGAAGCUCUUUAAAACCGUCUGGUAAUCGGCCCCAAACCUGCAUGUGAACCCUGAUCUUUAAAUAAACUUGUGAUACCUGUGAUCUUAUUUUUAUUUUUACCAGAAUGAAAAAUGUUGAAAAAAACAUACAAACAAAAAAAAGUCCUUGAGUCUGAUCUACGGCCCCGAAGGUUUUCAUUUUGGGCGAUCACGGUUCGAUAAGAUGGUCAUAAAAAUAAAAUCUCUCUCUCGGCGCAUCGAUCAUCAUUCCUGGAUGUAAAUUUCUGACAUUGUUCAGAUUUUUGAAGGUUUUCUAAAACAUCUUUUCUGCUGAAGGACUCAGAGCAGAGGAGACUCUCAGGUUUUCAGUUCCUCAGAAAUAAACUCCAUGAAUAUGAACAGCUGUGGUGUCUCUCUUCAUGCUGACCCGCCUCAGGACCAAUUAUCUGUUUCCUCUCUUCCUCCAUUAGAGGUCCGUGAAGAGCUGACAGGUAGACACGAGACCAAUCAUCCGUCCCCAAACUAAUAACAGCAGCGACCACGACUGACAACACGGCGUCCAAUUUACAUCGACGUCAGCGUCACAGAGGAGGUUAAACCGGCGAAGACAGACGAGUGUGGAGACCGUGAGGGAGAGGAAACCUUCAAAACCUGAAACUGCAGAAGUAACGUGUCACAUGACCUGUUACAGCCAGAACACAUGACUCAGUAACACGUUACCUGGUCCGACAGGUGAGUUAACCCGACAGAGAGACUCGGUCUGGACCAGAACUCUGAAUAUUGAUCAGUGAUCGAAGGAGAUUUUAGGGUUCAGGUUUUCUGAAAACACUCUGAGCUUCUUCGUCUUUUUCUUCGUCUUCGUCUUUUUCUUCGUCUUUUUCUUUGUCUUCUUCUUUUUCUUCUUCUCCUCCUCCUCUAUCUCUCCUGACUUCACUGACAGCUUGGCUCCACCACUGAGGUGCCAAAAAGUGGCACCAGAACCCCAGAUCUCCCUCCUCCACCCGUCCUCCCCGCCCAGAACCUCCCCGUCACCCUCCUCUGGAUCGAGUCCCCCUCAGAGGGUGAGGCCGGGUCUACACCGCUGCGAUUACAGAACCAGAAGACACUGGAGUCCUACGACCAAACCAGAGGGGAGGAGGGGAGGAACGAUGGCGGCGGAGGAGGAGGGGGACGGAGGAGGACUUCAAAAACCAACAACAAUAACAAGAAAACAAACAAGAGAAAAAAACACAAGUGAGAGAAGAAGAAGAAGCAGCAGCAGCCAAGGUCCUCCGACUAAUUAAGACGAUGAGCAUUUCUUAUUUAUGAGCUUUAAUGAGCAGCUUUUCAAUAGUUUGUUUUUGCCUAAUAUGAAUAUUUCCUUUUCAUUAUCGAACACAGACGAACUCUCUCAUUCUUUCCAAUAAUCACAUCCUGGAUUUUCUCCUCCGGAUUCUUCGCUUUUAGUUUCUUUGUUUCUUUGUUUUUCUGCAGAUGAACUUCGGAGAGUUUCAAAGAUCCAGAGAGUCCGAGGAUUCCACGGCCUGAGCGGUUAACGCCGAGGUUUGAGUUUUAGAGUGAUUAUUAUCACCUGAGAGAGAGAGAGAGAGAGGGAGAGAGAGAGAGAGAGAGAGAGAGAGAGAGAGGGAGAGAGAGAGAGAGGAAGGCUGCAGGGUUUUUUCAUUUUUAUCAUUUCUACAAAGAUCAUUAAAUUACACACGGACAGAGAAGUUCAUUCAUCAAAAAUCUCAUUUAUGUGAUUCUCUCAGUCAGACUGAUAUUUGUGGACUGAUUUGAAGACCUGAAGCAGAUUCAAACUGUCCUCAGUCCACAUGCAGACCUGGACCUGGACCCUGAACAGGAUAAAGUCACGGCGGUACGAUGGUGUGAAAACCCUGAUCCGGUCUCAGACAGACCUCCUGGAUAAAAGUGUCUUUCUCACACUAACAGGCAGCCGUUCAUGAUCAGGUGUUUCUCCUCUUCUCUGUUUUUAACCCAUUAUGAGUCACAGAGCGCCAAAAACCGGCGUGCAGCGAGGGCGGAUUGAUUGUUUUCAGCAACAUUAUCAUCCCCACCAAAAAAGGAGACACGAUCGAUGAUCAGAAGUUCAUCACAGUCGUGUUUACCUCCCGCUGAAAAGACCAACGAUCCUCUGAUCGUCAUUAAAACCAAAUCAUCAUCCAGACAAACCGGGCCCAGAGCCGGAUCCACUCAGACCCCCGUGGGUGAAAACCAGGAGAGGGAUCGAUGUGUGUGUGUGGGGGUGGGGUCAAUCUACAGCAAUUCAUCUGUGUGUGUGAGUGUGUAUGAGAGAGAGAGAGUGUGUGUGUGUGUGUGUGUGUGUGUGUGUGUGCGCGCCCUGUCUCUGAGGCCAUAUGUUCGACUGUAAUUACACACACUCUUCCUCUCUGUCAGGUUGGACUUCCUGUAUGUUUGUUUGAAGUAGGUUUGGGUGAUUCGGUAAAAAAAAUGAUCACGAUAUAUUUCGUCAUAUCGCCGAUCUCGAUUAUUAUCACGAUUUUUCUUUAAACUGUCAGUUUUAAAUCAUCUGAACUAAACACUAAAGAAACUGGAGAUUAGUUCAAGAUUUUAUGAACAUACGAAGUCAAUAAAGAAAAUUCAAUAAGAUAAACAGAAAAAUAUUAAAAACAUUUUAAUUCAGUAAAACAAAUGUAGAUAAAAACUAGAUAACAGUGAGCUUGUUCACAGUCUGAGUGUUUCUGCAGGAAUGAAAGAAAAAUAAACAAAUGUCCCCUCAGAGAGAAUGAAGACGCCUUAAACUGUCAACAUUAGAUGAUGUAAACGUAGAUGAGAUGAUUGAUUGCUUUGGUCUGGUGUCUGUACCGCUAGUUGUAGCUAAACUGCUAAUGCUACUCGUGUUUUCAGCAGUGACAGGCUGUACAGACUCCGCCCACAUUUUCAUACUUUCCUCAUAAUCACUCGGACUAACCGCCGACAUACCUUACACAUCGGCUUAAUUGCUCAACAUCACUUUGGAGAUACCUGAACCACCGCCACACAACCGACGAUCAAUAACUUCUCAACAAUAACAUCUUUGGAGGAUGAUAAAGUCACGGCUGACAUCUAUUCUGCUGCCCUCAGCUCCAUGUUCGGUCAGUCUGUUUAUUUCUCCUUACAGAAGUGAGCAGGAAAAGCUCGACUCUGAUUGGCUGUUGUGACCCAAAUUUCCACCAUGUUUGAUCGGGUAAAUACGCUCACGGCUGAUCACCGUGAUCGAACUGAAACUUAUCACAAUCAUCGAUCAUGAUCCUAUAAUCGCCCAGUCCUCGUAUGAAGUGUGUUCUUCUGUGUCCAACCUGAAACUAACUUCACCGCAGUAUUUACAGGAAAAAAAACAUUUGUUUCCUCGGCGGAUUUGUUUUUUUGCACAUGUGACCCUAAAUAUAUUUUACAAUUCACACACAUCUAUUUUUAGUCAUAAAUGUGAGUGAAACAGUCGCACUGUGGAGUCCUGGUUUAGGUUAGGACAGGUCUGAGUCUGAUCCCGUCUUUACAUCAGAGUCUGAUCUAGACCAGCUUUUCUACGUUAAACAUAUUUAAGAAAACUCUCGUCGUGAAAUGGCGAAAUAGACCCCGCCCUGUAGACCCCACCCUGUAGACUCGGCCCUGUAGACCCCUCUCCACAUUAAGCCCUUCUGUGCUGUGAGUGAAUUCAUCAACUGUGUGUCCAUAAUUUCUCUGUUUGGUUUUGAUGUGAUUUAUUCUGUUGUGUGUUUUCUGUGUGUGUGUGUGUGUGUGUGUGAGGGUGAUGAGUUGUGACAGGUGUUGUGGCCGCUAGUGCAGUGGGAGGAGGCGGGGUGUUGGUGGGGGGGGAGUAAACGAGAGCAACACAGAUGAUUAUUUAAUUACUGUCUAAUACUCCGCACCCCUCCCUCCCUCCCUCCCCCUUUACUCCUCCUCUCUCUAUCUUCCCCUUCUCUUUCUCUCCCACUCUCUUUGCCCCCCAGCCCUCCCCCACCACUCACACACACACACACACACACACACACCUCCUUCCUCCGUUUUCAUCCUUUCUUUAUUAAUGAACAAUCCGGGCCUUUCUACAAAUCCACCGGGGCUUACUGCACCCCCCAGACACUCUGUGUGUGUGUGUGUGUGUGUGUGUGUGUGUGUGUGUGUGUGUGUGUGGUAAAAAGGGGGGUCUAGUAGGCUUCUCUCUUAGGAGGAUUCACACAAACACACAGAAACACACACACACGGAGAAACACAAAUUUCCAAACCGAUCAGCGCCUCUACCUUCUGCGUCUUACAUUGCCUUAAAUUAAUGCAAGCAGGAUACGUGUGUUUGUGUGUGUGUGUGCGUGUGUGUGUUUGUGUGUGUGUGCGUGUGUGUGGUUUGUGUCUAUGUUACUCAGAUCUUUUCCUUCAUGCAUGUAUAAAGUAGAAGUUUGCAAACACAGUUUAGUCUCAGCUCACCUCGUCUCGGGCCUGUUACACACUCGUGCAUGUGUGUGUGUGUGUGUGUGUGUGUGUGUGUGUGUGUGUGUGUGUGUGUGUGUGUGUGUGUGUGUGUUCAGGUGAGUGUCAGUGUGUCAUGUUGCCGCUGACAGUGACAGUGUGUGUUGCGUCACUCUAACCCAGUUCUGUCCUGAUGGCGGUCUGCAGGAGUGCAGCGGUUGUGUAGAGUGUGUGACGCGGCAGCAGGUCCUGACAGUCUGCAGAAACAACCGAGAGGAGAUCAGAAGAGGGGAUGGAGGUCGCCACGGAGACCGCUCUCGCUUUACAACACCACCAACACCACCACCAGACCGGCUUCACUGAGAGGAGGAGGGAACAGAGGCCAGUGUGUCAGGGUGAGAAAUAAAGUCGAAGUGAUUUAUGAUCCAGAAAAGUUAUAAUCAAAGUCGAACACUGAGAACAGAAGAGAACGACUGACUGAGAGCGAGAUCACCGCCUACUGAUGACCAAAACAACAACAGCUGAUGAUUAAACAGCUGAUGAUUAAACAGCUGAUGAUUAAACAGCGCCUACAUGUCAUAACACAGUGGUUCUCAAGUGGUGGGUCCGACCCAAAAGUGGGUCACGUACAUGUUCUGGACAGGUCGCCAACCGCUGGUCAAAAAGUAAAUAUUUAAUGCGUAGCUGAUGUUUGACAUGUGUUUUAUUUUGAAAAAUACCUUAUUUUGAAAUGCAUAAAAGUCAAAUUUUUAAUGUUGUUGGUCUCCAUUUUGUGUAAUUUGAUAUUUUCUGUAUAUGUAACUUCAGUAGUUGUCAUCCUCAGUUCAUGUGUUGUGUAUUUAUGUUAAAUAUAUAUUUACGCCUUUUUUAUCAUAGCUACUUAAAGAUUUUAUUUUCUUUUUUAAUUAAUUUGUUUGGUUUGAAUUCUAUUAAAGUGGGUCGCCACUAAAGGAUUAUGGGAAAAUGUGGGUCCCAGAGUGAGACACGUUGAGAACCGCUGACAUAACCUUCAGUUUUAGUAGAUCUGACAGGAUACAGACUUUCACCUCACCGUCAAACUUCAAUAUAACUCAUAAAACAUUUGAAUCUCAGGCUUUUAUUUUGAAAUUCUACAUGCAGACCUUUGGUGACUGAUUUAAGGUCAUCUGCAGCCUCAGUUCGAUUUGACAAAGGGGAGGUGUGACCUUCUCUGAUCGCUGCUCUGGUUCCUCCAUCGUCUCUCCUCUGAA
rnacentral:lncRNA from 1 species